UAUCAAACCUAUCUGGUGUUACUCGAGA
rnacentral:sRNA from 1 species